AAUAGACAGAGGCAAACAGCAACUAGAGUCUGUCAAGGAAACUGAGGUUACUUUUGACAAGUACACGUGGUUUAUUAUAAAUAUAGCAGAACAGAAAUAAAACUUAGCAAAAGGCAAUGAAUAUACUCCAAAUAUAGAUAAAAAGUAAUGAAAACAAUGAGAAUAAAAAGCCUGGAGCCAGGAGAAUGCUCAGUAAUAUAUGAUUAGCCUGUCGUUUUAGUUACUGGAAAACAGAUUAUCUGUCCUGUUUCAAGAAAAAAAUGUAAAAUCUGUAAUUUUUAUACAUAUUAAAGAAUGGUAUAGAAAGAAGGAAUUAUGGGAAGCAAGGGAAUAAGGAUGUAAUGGAAAUUGUGGAAGGAGAAUGUGAAGGUGGAAAGCCGGAGGAAGGCCAAGCCAGCUGUUCUGUAGGACGACUGUGUGCUGAAGGUGUACCAGGAAGACAUUCAUCUCUGAUGUUCGCUGUCUUCUCUACAACCACAAAGAACAAAGCAGACAAGAUGAGGUAUCUUUCUUGGUUAACCAGCCACAACUAUCCUGACCAGUCAAAUAUUCAGAGGGCUUACCUUCAUCAUGCCUUCACCAUCAAGGUAUUAAGAAGAUAUGUGGCCACUGAGUAGCAUUGCAGGGUCUGACAAUACAGAACUAAAGAGGCCUUUUAUGCUGAACAGUAGCUAUUUAAUAAACACAUUUUCUUUCCCA
rnacentral:lncRNA from 1 species